rnacentral:snoRNA from 1 species
ACCCUCCAGAUUGCUUGCCCUUUGGAUCUACAUGUUGGUCUGAGUGGCUGUAAAAGGGGGAGAGGGAAAACGGAAACAGGAUUCUUUUGUGACCUGCGAGUUUGUUUCCAAAGACA